rnacentral:rRNA from 1 species
UGAGUAACGCGUGGGUAACCUGCCCUAUACACAUGGAUAACAUACUGAAAAGUUUACUAAUACAUGAUAAUAUAUAUUUACGGCAUCGUAGAUAUAUCAAAGUGUUAGCGGUAUAGGAUGGACCCGCGUUUGAUUAGCUAGUUGGUGAGAUAACUGCCCACCAAGGCGACGAUCAGUAGCCGACCUGAGAGGGUGAUCGGCCACAUUGGAACUGAGACACGGUCCAAACUCCUACGGGAGGCAGCAGCU